AUAAACACAUUCUUUUUUUCACCAUCCAUAAAAAAUAUUCCACAACAUCAUUUUUAUUCUCCAUUCUACACAAAGAACCCAUCAUUCUUCCUUUUCAUUACACAAUUCUUCAUCACGGGCCAACACAGAAUUAAAUAGAAGAGAACAUCACAACAAUACUCAUACAUCACAGAUCCAAGCACCCACACCAUUAUAUAUUCAAACACCUCCGUCACCGGAAAAGGACUCUAACCGGAGAAAAUUCACACUACCAUACAAGCACACAAUAAUCGAGAACGAGAAAAAAUAGUCGAGAAUUAAGGGAGAUCGAAUGAGAGUGAUCAGGAAACACACAAAAUGAGAGAGAAAUAAGAAAGAAAGAGGGAGAAAAACAGUAGAGAGGUCCGUUCUAGUAAUUGAAGCUCGUUGUAGCUCCGACAACAUCCGAAUCGGAGACCAACACCUCAAUAACGAUCAAAACUAGCUUCAAAAAGAGGUCCCGCUCUAUUUUCAGACCGCGUCUCGCUGGAAGCGGUAAGCCAGCGAUCGGAGGUGACAUAAUCCGAAACUAUCAUAGUUUAUUCCAACCUAAUCUGAUCGAAAAAUGACCAAAUCAGUUAAAGGGCGUUGUUCGAGAUUGGGAUUGCUUGAGUUGAGAGUUCAUUGUUUGACGUUUGACUGGUUCUUGGUCCGUUGCUUCAUCUUAUUCAAUCGAACAACACAUUGAUCCCGAAAGGUCCAACUUUUAACUCUAUUUUUCUUAAUUUUCAUGUGAUUAUGUUUGUGAUUUGAUAUCUUUUUUAGUGAUUGGUUGCUUGAUAUGUUUGAUAUUGUUUAUUCGAAUUAUUGGAAUAACUAACCGUGGUAUGAAAUUGAUGUUGAUAUGGCUUGAUAGCUAGUUUUCAUGUUAAAAUUCAUGUGUUAAAAGAAAUUUGGGAUGGGAUUAAAUGCGAUAAAGUGAAUUUGUAUUAAUUUUGGAUCAUCAAUUUUAUUGAAUUGUUGGAAUUGCGAUAAAUCGAAUCUAGUAGGCAAAUGCUAAGUCGGGUAGGCAAAUUUUUAGGAAUGAUGUUUUGUUGAAUGUUUGAAUGUGCGUGUGAAUAGUUCUUUCUACUUUAUUACACGAGAUUCAAAGAUGUAUUCAUUCACCGAGGAAUGCCCCGAGGUCAUUUGUACUUAAUCAGGGAAUGCCCCGACGUAUCAUGUACGCAAAGGAGGUUCGUGAUGAAGGCCGGAG
rnacentral:lncRNA from 1 species